rnacentral:rRNA from 1 species
CACGUAGUUAGCCGGCGCUUCUUUACCCACUACCCUCACCACGACCCACGUCGCGGCUUGACCACGGGCGAAAGAGGUUCACAACCCGAAGGCCUCCAUCCCUCACGCGGCGUCGCUGCAUCAGGCUUGCGCCCAUUGUGCAAUAUUCCCCACUGCUGCCUCCCGUAGGAGUCUGGGCCGUAUCUCAGUCCCAAUGUGACCGGUCACCCUCUCAGGCCGGCUACCCGUCAAAGCCUUGGUGGGCCAUCACCCCACCAACAAGCUGAUAGGCCGCGAGCCCAUCCCCCACCAGAAAAAAACCCUUUCCACCAGACCCCAUGCGAGGACCAGUGAAUACCCGGUAUUAGCAGCCCUUUCAGACCGUUAUCCCGAAGAAGGGGGCAGGUUACUCACGUGUUACUCACCCGUUCGCCACUAAUCAACGGCGCAAGCGCCGCAUCAUCGUUCGACUUGCAUGUGUUAAGCACGCCGCCAGCGUUCGUCCUGAGCCAGGAUCAAACUCU